rnacentral:lncRNA from 1 species
AUGCGCGCUGACGGUCGGCGGCCGCAGCGGCGGAAGCUGGGGCCGGCCGGGAACCGGUCCCGUGCGGAGAGGAGGCAACGGCAGUGCGGUCCCGGGGGGACAAGCCAAGGGGGGCGGGGGGUGGCACGGCCCUGCCGAGGGCAUCGGGGGCCCGGACAGCCGCCUGUCGGAGUCGCGGUCCGGCCGGGUCACGCGUGGAUCCGGAACCGCGUGGGCACGACGUCCCUUCCCGAGUCGGGGGAGAAGGGCUGGAAGGAGGUUCUGGGACGGGCCCUGAGCUGAGGAGCUGUGGCGCCGAGGGUCAGAGACGCGGCAGAGAGAGGGACGGCCGGACGGAGCCGGCAGACGGGGACACAGGCGGCCAAGAAAGUUACGGGACCCGGCAGCAGACGCCGCGGGGCGCCCGGACGCGGACGCCCAGCCCGCAGGGGCCAAGGCCGCCGCCCUCGUGGGGCUGCAGGAGGCAGGGGACGCCCUGUCCCCCCAUGGGGGUCCAAGGCGCCUGCGGUGGCCACAGUCUUUGGGGAGGUCCUUGACAGAGGAGGCCAAGCAUCCCAGGGAGGGGCAGGGAACAAGUUCCGUGCAGGGCCAGCAUCGAGGCCUGAAUGCCCCGUUUCAGAUGGGAGGCCAGGCCUGCAGCUGGUGGAGGAGGCCACGUGGGUGCUACCCUGGACACGACCAGAGAUGAGCAAGGACCAGGAGGAAGAGAAUGGAGAGGUAGACGCAUCCCGCUGUUGGGGAGAGGAGGGGCAGGAGGACACGGAAGCCUCCUAGGGGAAACUGAAGGACCAGAGGAGGGAGCAGGAGGGCCUGACCAUGGAGGGGAGGAACGGGAAGACAGGGUGAUAGGGCACCUGGCUUGGCUCCUGGAGCAACUGACACUGGCUGGUGGGCACCUUCUCCUUGCCACACAUCUGCAUGUGACAGCCACAGAUGCACAGGGAUGGGGGCACCGGAGGACUGAACAGAGAGGGCUAAGGGGCUCUCUCUCUGCCACAGGGCCCCUGCCCCUCAGCUUCCUGAUAAAGAGAAUGGGAAUUGUGUCCUUUACAAGUUGAGGGACCUCAACCUGACGGGGCUCACGCUCCGCUCUGUGGGUCAAGCUUAGAACCUGAAACGUCCCAACCACCCUCUUCAAGGUCCUUCUGGCUCCCAACCCCCACCCCCCGACACCCCACCCUAAGGGUGGGAGGAACCCUGGGGGGACUAUGGGGGCUGAGAUCAUCAUUCUGGGACAGUGGAGAGAAAAGCCCAGGCCUGACAGAGGGGUCCCACUGGCCAGAGACAAGCCUCUGGGGAAACCCAAGCUGUCUCUGGACGUCAGGGCCACUGCCAGACUGGCUGCCAGCCAGGCUGCAAGAGGGACAGUGGCCAGCAGCCUCUUCCACCCUCAUCAGAGGGGCUGGCUUUGUCUCCAGCUCAGCUUCCCUGUGAGCCAGGACUGGGGUCUGCAGAACGUCUGGUGGCUUCUGGGGUGGGGGAAAGUAGGUGCCUGGGGCUCAGCCCUGCCCCAAUUGUUCAUCUGGGUCAGCAGCAGCGGCGGGAGGCCGUGGGCCCAGAGGGCCAUUGUACCGCCAGCUCCCCAGGGAGGAGGCCGCUGGUCACAGGGCCUCUCCCCAGGAACAGUCCUCUGCACACGCUACUCUGCCCCCACCCCCAGCCCUCACAGAUGGUGUUUGGGAGUUAGGAAGGGCCUCCCCACAGCGCCCAAGCGGGACUUAUUGCUCCCCAGGGACCCAGCCACCUGUCCCAGCCCCUGGCUGGGGCCUCUCCCACCUCCCACCUCUCCACUGGCCCUGCCCCCUCCUGGCACCUUCUGCAACAAAGAAGCUCCGCCUCCCCUCCCCCCACCUGCAACUCAGGCCGCAGUGCUUCGCCUCCCCCUCCCCACCCCACCCCUCACCCCUAGAGUGGCAGCUCCAGCUUUGGGGCACAGGCUGGGGAGAGGGCAUAGAUGGGCUGGACAGUCCUAGGCGGCAGGGAGCUGAGAGUCUUUCCUGUAAGAUGCCCGUUGAUCCAAUAAUUCCCUGCCCAGCCCAGAACCUGCUGUCUCCCCCCAGACGCCUGCAAGCCACCACAUGUUCACCUAUUGCACAUUUAUCGAGCGCCUAUUAUGCCUCGGGGGGUUUCCAACCGAGCUCCGAAGGCAGACAGCCCAGGAGCAGACACAGCGCCGGCUCCCAACGGCGGGUGGUGUGGCCGAGCCCGCGUCGCGCUGCCCUGCACCCAGCACCCUCGCGCCGGGUCGAUCCCCCAGCCUCGCAGACCGCUGCCCAGCCAGGCCGCUCUGCGGUCGCGCCAGCUCUGCGCGCCAAGUCAAAAGCUGAAAUGCGACGUUGGACGGAGGAGGGAAGAGAGGGAAAGCAGAGAGGGAGGGAGGGAAACGGCCGGUGGCCUUCUCUGCCCAAAGGGUUCCAGAAGAAACGAUUUGGGGAUGGGGUGUGGGGGGCGGCCUCUGCGACCACGCUUGGCACUGCGCCCGCCCGGCCGGGGCGAGGUUGGAGGGAGGGGCGGCCGGCUCGCGGUGACCUCGAUGGGAGGGGGCCUCGCCCGCGGCUCAGGGCGCCCCCGGCUCCCUGCGCCCGGCCCUUCGCCUCCGCCGAGCGCGCCAGCACAGGAAGGCGGCGGUCAGAAGCCCCAGGCCCGCACUGAGCGCGGCCAGCGACGAGCCCUGGGCCAGGUCCAGGCGGGGUCCCCGCAGCGAGAAGGUGAUGGCCGUGGCAGCCGCACCAGCCAGCACGGCCACGGCACCGAACGGCAGAAUGCAGCGAGGCCACGAGCCCCCAGCGCCGCCGGUGGCCAAGAGCAGGGCGCGCAGGGCCCCGGGGGGUUCCGGGUGCGCCAGACCCGGCCCGGGGGGCGAGGCGGGCGCCGCUGGGGGAGGCUCGAGCGCGCUCAUGCCGCCAACGCGGUGGCCGCGCUCGGUGGGUGGUGUGGACGCCCGCGCAGUCCCAGUGGCGUUCCAGGCUCGCCACGUCAGAGCCCAUUGGCUCCAGAGGCGGUGACGCCAGCCGGGAGCCCGAGGAGUCAGCUGCUACCUCUGGGUUUUGGCGGGGAAUCGGGGUGGGCGGGCGUUAGUCCGAGGAGGCGGCUUGUCUUUCCCGCCCUGGACUCCUGUGUUGGGGCCUCCUCAGGACCCCCACAAAGCUAUCUAGGCCGCCUCCCUGCUCCAGGACACCACUGUCCUCUGGGUUGGCCCCCGGGAUUGGUGGAUCAUUGAGUCAGUGCACAUCUGGCUCCCAUCAGGGCCUGGCCGGGGUAGGGGGGAUAGCACCCCUGUCCUCCUGAGGCAGACAUCCAGUAGGCAUGGGGGAUGAGCCAUGAGCCAAGUCAGCCAGUGAAAUAACGUCAGGUAGAGACCACCUGCUCUGGAAAGCCACGGGGGUGUACGGUCGCAGCGUGGUUGGGGGUUUCAAAUGAGUCAGUGGCUCCUGCAGAUAGAGGCACCUGGGCAUAAGCCUGGAGGCAGCAAUGGGGUUGCCGGGAGGGGCGAGGCUGGCUGAUCUGCACAAGGGGUGCGACCCUGGGGCUGCUGCCAGGCUGCGGUGGCAGGGGGUGGAGCUGCCCUGUCCCUGGAGGCGCCCCCUCAAUGCAACGAGGACCAUGGUUUUUGGUUUCCUGUCUUGGUCUCUGUCAUCUGGUCCCCAGCAGCCCUCAACUUGGGACUCUGGGUCCGAGCGUGUUUCUGGCCCGCUGGACUAUAAGGCCCUUUACAAGCACGACCUACCUGCGACGCUCCAUCUGGUUCUCAGAAGACCCGGCUUUCUCCAGGUGUCAUCCACCUCCUGUCCUGCUGCCCUGUCCAGGGGGGGCACCUUGGUGAAGAGGCCGGUCAUCUUCCCUGUCGCAGGUCCCUGCCCAGAGCAGCGCUUGGUGGAGCUCCGGCACUGUCCACACAGAGCACCUGGCCCCAGCUCCCAAAAUGUCUGGGAUGCCUCGGGCCCUCAGUGCAGGUUCGUUUAAAGAACACUACGAGCACUGGCCAUGGCCAACACCACGGCCUCUGUGGCCAGCAGGGUUUUUUUUUUGAGACGGAGUCUUGCUCUGUCACCCAGGCUGGAGUGCAGUGGUGUGAUCUCGGCUCACUGCAACCUCCACCUCCUGGGCUCAAGCGAUUCUCCUGCCUCAGCCUCCCAAGUAACUGGGAUGACAGAUGCGCACUACCAAGCCUGGCUAAUUUUUUGUAUUUUUAGUAGAGACGGGGUUUCACCGUGUUAGCCAGGAUGGUCUCAAUCUCCUGACUUCAUGAUCCGUCCGCCUUGGCCUCCCAAAGUGCCGGGAUUACAGGCAUAAGCCCCCGUGCCUGGCCUUUAGUUUUUAUAUUUUGAAUGGAGACAGGGUUUCAACAUGUUGGCCAGGCUGGUCAUGAACUCCUGACCUCAGGUGAUCUGCCUGCCUCAUCCUCCCAAAGUGUUGGGAUUACAGGUGUGAGCCACCACGCCCAGCCUGUGGCCAGCACUUUAGAUGCCACAUCAAGUAAUCUCUAUGCCGGCCCCUGAGGUCAUCACCACCAUCACCCAGCAUGACAGUGGGGACAAACCUGGACAACUGGGGCUGACUCCUUGAGAAUCUUGCCCAGUCCCAGGGCAAGAAACAAGUCAUGUUGCAAACACCUCUGUGGCUGCAGAGGGCCCAACCCUGACCCAUGCUCUUUCCUGCCUUCCUGGGGAAGGGAAGGAGGCUUGGAGGAGGUGAGAGUGGAGUGGCUAAAGGGUGAAGAGGUAAAAGGCCCUUCCUGGUGGAGGCUCAGUGUGAACCGGUGACCCCACACCUGCCCCAGCACCAGCGCCAGGAGGGGGAGCUGGGCAUGGGCACCAGGAGACAGUGGGAAGCAGAGCCGUGUGGCUGUGGCAGAGACAGUGGCCGGCCUGUUCUCCAAUAUGGCCUUGUGGUUUUCGUGUCCUCCGAUGAAUGCAUACAGCCUACAGCCUACAGGGGGCAGGGCUUUCAGCAAUGCUGGGCCUGCCUUGAGUGGCCUUGUCCCGUCCUUUAUACAGAAGGGAUAUCGAGACAGAGUCUCGCUCUGUCACCCAGGUUGGAGCACAGUGGUGCAAUCAUGGCUCACUGCAGGCUCAAAGUGCGAGGCUCAAGCGAUCCUCCCGCCUUAGCCUCCCAAGUAGCUGGGAUUACAGGCAGACACGCCAUGCCCGGCUCAUUUUCAAAUUUUGUGUAGAGAUGGGGUCUCACUGUUGUUCAAACUGGUCUCAAACUCCUGGCCUCAAGCAAUUCUCCCACUUCAGCCUCCCCAAGUGCUGGGAUUACAGGCGUGAGCCACCACACCCGGCCCACUUAUAAUCUUGAUAAAUACACUUGAUAUAUUCUUUUUCAGCAUGACAUGUAUCAACCAGUGAUAUAACUUGAUAAAAUCAUAAAGAAACAACAAGGGCUCACCAAGUCCUACCUUGGCAUGAUUUAAAUACAUAUGCUUUCAGCCAGGCACGGUGGCUCACACCUAUAAUCCCAGCACGUUGGGAGGGUGAGGUGGGAGGAUCACCUGAGGUCGAAAGUUUGAGACCAGCCUGGCCCACAUGGUGAAACCCCAUCUUUACUAAAAAAAAAAAAAAAAAAAAAAAAAAAAAAAUAGCCAGGCGUGGUGGCCGAAGCCUGUAGUCCCAGCUACUCGGGAGGCUGAGGCAGGAGAAUCGCCUGAACCCAGAAGCGGAGGUUGCAGUGAGCUGAGAUCACGCCACUGCACUCUAGCCUAGGCGACAGAGUGAGACUGUCUCAAAAACAUAAAUAAACACAAAUGCUUUCUAAAGUGGCUUUAAUAUCACACAAGCGGCUCUUUGGUCUACAGUGAGAGAAAACAGAGGGAGCCAGGAAAGGCUCCCCGCUGGCCUCUGGAGUCCAGGAGCCUUAGGAAGGCUGAAAGCCAGCCCUG